CGUUACCUUAUGGUAGCCAAUCAAUGUUCUGGCAAUCUGAGAGGAACGCUUUCGGGCGAUUGCAAAUAUCAAUGUUCUUGUAGUCUGAGAGGGAACGCCUUCGGGUGACUGCAUUAUCUGCCAUACCUGAAACGGCAGACAGUAAGAUACUCUGGGUAAAUCC
rnacentral:sRNA from 1 species